rnacentral:tRNA from 1 species
AGAGAUGUAGCUCAGAGGUAGAGUGCUUGCCUAGCAUAUGCAAGGCCCUGGGUUCAAUCCCCAGUACCACUA